rnacentral:rRNA from 1 species
UCAAGUUAUUAAGGGUGCAGGGCGGAUGCCUUGGCACUAGGAGCCGAUGAAGGACGUGAUAAGCUGCGAUAAGCUUCGGGGAGUUGCACGUAAACUUUGAUCCGAAGAUUUCCGAAUGAGGAAACUCACUUAGAGUAAUGUCUAAGUAUCAUUAAGUGAAUACAUAGCUUAAUGAGGGGAACUCAGGGAACUGAAACAUCUAAGUACCUGAAGGAAGAGAAAGAAAUUCGAUUCCGUAAGUAGCGGCGAGCGAACGCGGAUUAGCCCAAACCAAUAAAGUUUUCUUUAUUGGGGUUGCGGACAUAUCAUAACGAAGAGGUAUCGUAAUUGAAGAGGUUUGGAAAGACCCACCACAGAAGGUAAUAGUCCUGUAUGUUAAACGAGAAGACUUCAGAUAUGAUCCAGAGUACCACGGGACACGUGAAACCCUGUGGGAAGCAGGAGGGACCACCCUCCAAGGCUAAAUACUACCUAGUGACCGAUAGCGUAUAGUACCGUGAGGGAAAGGUGAAAAGAACCCCGGGAGGGGAGUGAAAUAGAACCUGAAACCCUGCACUUACAAGCUGUGGAAGCACAUUUCUUGUGUGACCGCGUACUUUUUGUAGAACGGGCCAACGAGUUACGUUAAGUAGCAAGGUUAAGCACUUAAGGUGCGGAGCCGUAGCGAAAGCGAGUUUUAACUGAGCGUUCAGUUACUUGACGUAGACCCGAAACCGGGCGACCUACCCAUGAGCAGGAUGAAGCGAAAGUAAAAUUUCGUGGAGGUCCGAACCCACGAGCGUUGAAAAGCUCGGGGAUGACUUGUGGGUAGCGGUGAAAUUCCAAUCGAGCCCGGAGAUAGCUGGUUCUCCCCGAAAUAGCUUUAGGGCUAGCCUCAAGGUGAGAGAUACGGAGGUAGAGCACUGAAUGUCCUAGGGGGUAUUGCACCUACCGAAGACUAUCAAACUCCGAAUGCCGUCAUCUUAUACUUGGGAGUCAGACUGUGGGUGAUAAGAUUCAUAGUCGAAAGGGCAACAGCCCAGAUCGUCAGCUAAGGUCCCUAAAUGUAAGUUAAGUGGUAAAGGAUGUGGGAUUGCACAGACAACCAGGAUGUUGGCUUAGAAGCAGCCACUCAUUCAAAGAGUGCGUAAUAGCUCACUGGUCGAGUGAUCCUGCGCCGAAGAUUUCCGGGGCUAAAACUUACUACCGAAGCUACGGCAUCAGUAAUGAUGGGUAGGGGAGCUUCCCAUACGGGUUGAAGCAUGACCGUAAGGACAUGUGGACAGUAUGGGAGUGAGAAUGUUGGCAUGAGUAGCGAGAUGUGGGUGAGAAUCCCACAGGCCGUAAACCCAAGGUUUCCAGGGGAAGGUUCGUCCGCCCUGGGUUAGUCGGGACCUAAGCUGAGGCCGAAAGGCGUAGGUGAUGGACAACAGGUUGAUAUUCCUGUACUACCGAUAACCGUUUGAGAGAAGGGAUGACACAGUAGGAUAAGCUAAGCACACUGUUGGUUAUGUGUGCCCAAGCAUUGAGGCAGUCAAAGCAGGCAAAUCCGCUUUGAUAAUGCUGGGAUGUGAUGGGGAGCGAAAUUUAGUAGCGAAGUAGCUGAUUUCACACUGUCAAGAAAAGUCUCUAUCGAGGUUAAAGGUACCCGUACCGCAAACCGACACAGGUGGGUGAGGAGAGUAUCCUAAGGCCAGCGAGAGAACUGUUGUUAAGGAACUCGGCAAAAUGACCCCGUAACUUAGGGAUAAGGGGUGCCACCAUCCGGUGGCCGCAGAGAAUAGGCCCAAGCGACUGUUUACCAAAAACAUAGGUUUCUGCUAAGUCGCAAGACGAUGUAUAGGAGCUGACGCCUGCCCGGUGCUGGAAGGUUAAGGGGAUCUGUUAGAGCAAUCGAAGCAGUGAACUUAAGCCCCAGUAAACGGCGGCCGUAACUAUAACGGUCCUAAGGUAGCGAAAUUCCUUGUCGGGUAAGUUCCGACCCGCACGAAAGGCGUAACGAUUUGGGCACUGUCUCAACAACAGACUCGGUGAAAUUGUAAUUCCGGUGAAGAUGCCGGAUACCUGCGACAGGACGGAAAGACCCCAUGGAGCUUUACUGUAGCUUGACAUUGGGUCUUGGUACUACAUGUACAGGAUAGGUGGGAGGCUUUGAAACCAGGACGCCAGUUUUGGCGGAGCCAUCCUUGGGAUACCACCCUUGUAGUACUGGGACUCUAACCAUAGGCCAUGAAUCUGGUCUUGGGACACUGUCAGGUGGGCAGUUUGACUGGGGCGGUCGCCUCCCAAAAGGUAACGGAGGCGCUCAAAGGUUCUCUCAGUACGGUCGGAAAUCGUACGUAGAGUGUAAAGGCAAAAGAGAGCUUGAUUGCAAGACAUACAGGUCGAGCAAGGAUGAAAAUCGGACUUAGUGAUCCGGUGGUUCUGCGUGGAAGGGCCAUCGCUCAACGGAUAAAAGCUACCCUGGGGAUAACAGGCUUAUCUCCCCCAAGAGUCCACAUCGACGGGGAGGUUUGGCACCUCGAUGUCGGCUCAUCACAUCCUGGGGCUGUAGUAGGUCCCAAGGGUUGGGCUGUUCGCCCAUUAAAGUGGUACGCGAGCUGGGUUCAGAACGUCGUGAGACAGUUCGGUCCCUAUCCGUCGCAGGCGUAGGAAAUUUGAGAAGACCUGUCCUUAGUACGAGAGGACCGGGAUGGACGUACCUCUGGUGUACCAGUUGUUCUGCCAAGGGCAUGGCUGGGUAGCUAUGUACGGAAUGGAUAAGCGCUGAAAGCAUCUAAGCGCGAAGCCAACUUCAAGAUAAGAUUUCCCACCGCAGGGGUAAGACCCCAGAAAGACUAUCUGGUUGAUAGGUCGAAGGUGUAAGUGCAGCAAUGUAUUUAGCUUAUCGAUACUAAUAGGUCGAGGACUUGACCAA